GAGUUCUCUUCCGAUCUCUCAGGUAGACAGUUUCUAUGGGUCGUAGGCCUCCCAAAAGGUAACGGAGGCAUGCAAAGGUUUCCUCGGGCCAGACGGACAUUGGUCCUCGAGUGCAAAGGCAGAAGGGAGCUUGAUUU